rnacentral:rRNA from 1 species
GAACGGGCAAUGGCUAUAAUGCAGUCGAGCGGAUCUCUUCGGAGGUCAGCGGCGGACGGGUGAGUAACACGUGGGCAACCUGCCUGUAAGACUGGGAUAACUCCGGGAAACCGGAGCUAAUACCGGAUACUAUGUCAAACCGCAUGGUUUGACAUUCAAAGACGGUUUCGGCUGUCACUUACAGAUGGGCCCGCGGCGCAUUAGCUAGUUGGUGAGGUAAUGGCUCACCAAGGCGACGAUGCGUAGCCGACCUGAGAGGGUGAUCGGCCACACUGGGACUGAGACACGGCCCAGACUCCUACGGGAGGCAGCAGUAGGGAAUCUUCCGCAAUGGACGAAAGUCUGACGGAGCAACGCCGCGUGAGUGAUGAAGGUUUUCGGAUCGUAAAACUCUGUUGUCAGGGAAGAACAAGUGCCGGAGUAACUGCCGGCACCUUGACGGUACCUGACCAGAAAGCCACGGCUAACUACGUGCCAGCAGCCGCGGUAAUACGUAGGUGGCAAGCGUUGUCCGGAAUUAUUGGGCGUAAAGCGCGCGCAGGCGGUUUCUUAAGUCUGAUGUGAAAGCCCCCGGCUCAACCGGGGAGGGUCAUUGGAAACUGGGAAACUUGAGUGCAGAAGAGGAGAGUGGAAUUCCACGUGUAGCGGUGAAAUGCGUAGAGAUGUGGAGGAACACCAGUGGCGAAGGCGACUCUCUGGUCUGUAACUGACGCUGAGGCGCGAAAGCGUGGGGAGCGAACAGGAUUAGAUACCCUGGUAGUCCACGCCGUAAACGAUGAGUGCUAAGUGUUAGAGGGUUUCCGCCCUUUAGUGCUGCAGCUAACGCAUUAAGCACUCCGCCUGGGGAGUACGGUCGCCAGACUGAAGACUCAAAGGAGUUGACGGGGGCCCGCACAAGCGGUGGAGCAUGUGGGUUUAUUCGAAGCAACGCUGAGAAACAUACCAGGCCU